rnacentral:rRNA from 1 species
AAAUUGAAGAGUUUGAUCAUGGCUCAGAUUGAACGCUGGCGGCAGGCCUAACACAUGCAAGUCGAACGGUAACAGGAAGCAGCUUGCUGCUUUGCUGACGAGUGGCGGACGGGUGAGUAAUGUCUGGGAAACUGCCUGAUGGAGGGGGAUAACUACUGGAAACGGUGGCUAAUACCGCAUAACGUCGUAAGACCAAAGAGGGGGACCUUCGGGCCUCUUGCCAUCAGAUGUGCCCAGAUGGGAUUAGCUUGUUGGUGAGGUAACGGCUCACCAAGGCGACGAUCCCUAGCU